UAUCUCUGUAGAGUCUGCAUAUCAAUAAGCGGAGGAAAAGAAACUAACUAGGAUUCCCUCAGUAACGGCGAGUGAAGCGGGAAGAGCUCAAAUUUGAAAUCUUCAAGGUUCUACCUUGACGAAUUGUAGUUUAAAGAAGUGUUUUCUGUUAGAUGAGUUAGGCUAAAAGUUCCUUGGAAUAGGACAUCAUAGAGGGUGAGAAUCCCGUAUUUGACUUAUUCAUUCUAGCUUUGUGAUACACUUUCAAAGAGUCGGAUUGUUUGGGAAUGCAGUCCAAAAUGGGUGGUAAAUUUCAUCUAAAGCUAAAUACUGGCGAGAGACCGAUAGCGAACAAGUACCGUGAGGGAAAGAUGAAAAGAACUUUGAAAAGAGAGUUAAACAAUACGUGAAAUUGUCAAAAGGGAAGCGUUUGACACCAGUGUUGUUUUCUCGAAAAUCAAUUAAAAAAAGUUGGAUUUUGUGUUGUAUUGACCUUAACAGCUUUCUGCACUCUUUUCCUGCUUUUUUUAAUGCACUUUUCGUUUAACAAGUCAACAUCAGUUUCUUUUGUUGUAAAAGGGUCAUUGGAAGGUGGCUUUCUUUUCGGAGAAAGUGUUUAUAGCCUUUGGCCUCUGCAAUCGGAGAGAUUGAGGUCUGCAGCGUAGAUCCUUCGGGGUUAGAUACAUUUGUGCUAAGUUAUAGCCUUUCAUAGACAACUUGUUGACUAUGAUCAGUCAUGUAGCUUACUCGCUUAUGCUAUUUUACCUACGCUUAGGAUGUUGAUCUGUAGUGCGUGCGC
rnacentral:rRNA from 1 species